rnacentral:misc_RNA from 1 species
UAGAGUUAUCACAAUUCCCAACCCAUGUGAACAUACCUAUUGUUGCCUCGGCAGGUCGCAGGCUGCUGGGAAAGGCCCCCCUAGCUUGGGAGGCCUACCCGGGAGCUGCGGUCAAGCCUGCCGGCGGCCCGCAAAACUCUGUUUAGCAUUGAAAUUCUGAAUCAUAACUAAAUAAGUUA